rnacentral:rRNA from 1 species
GACGAACGCUGGCGGCGUGCUUAACACCUGCAAGUCGAACGAGAGGCGGACGGGUGAGUAAUGUCUGGGAAACUGCCUGAUGGAGGGGGAUAACUACUGGAACCGGUAGCUAAUACCGCAUACCAUCAGAUGUGCCCAGAUGGGAUUAGAUAGUAGGUGGGGUAAUGGCUCACCUAGGCGACGAUCCCUAGCUGGUCUGAGAGGAGGACCAGCCACACUGGAACUGAGACACGGUCCAGACUCCUACGGGAGGCAGCAGUGGGGAAUAUUGCACAAUGGGCGCAAGCCUGAUGCAGCCAUGCCGCGUGUGUGAAGAAGGCCUUCGGGUUGUAAAGCACUUUCAGCGAGGAGGCGUUACUCGCAGAAGAAGCACCGGCUAACUCCGUGCCAGCAGCCGCGGUAAUAC